GAUGAACGCUGGCGGCGUGCCUAAUACAUGCAAGUCGAGCGAACGGACGAGAAGCUUGCUUCUCUGAUGUUAGCGGCGGACGGGUGAGUAACACGUGGAUAACCUACCUAUAAGACUGGGGUAACUUCGGGAAACCGGAGCUAAUACCGGAUCAUAUUUUGAACCGCAUGGUUCAAAAGUGAAAGACGGUCUUGCUGUCACUUAUAGAUGGAUCCGCGCUGCAUUAGCUAGUUGGUAAGGUAACGGCUUACCAAGGCAACGAUGCAUAGCCGACCUGAGAGGGUGAUCCGCCACACUGGAACUGAGACACGGUCCAGACUCCUACGGGAGGCAGCAGUAGGGAAUCUUCCGCAAUGGGCGAAAGCCUGACGGAGCAACGCCGCGUGAGUGAUGAAGGUCUUCGGAUCGUAAAACUCUGUUAUUAGGGAAGAACAUAUGUGUAAGUAACUGUGCACAUCUUGACGGUACCUAAUCAGAAAGCCACGGCUAACUACGUG
rnacentral:rRNA from 1 species